UGAAGUUGAUAGAAUAUUGAACUGCAAGAAUCUCUCAAAAAGAUAAAAAUAAGUGAAAAAUAAUAAAAUCUAAUAUACAAAUAGCAGAAGUACAGAAGGAGAGAACAGAAAGUGGGAAAAAAAACCCUCAUCAUUGAAAUAAUUCAAGAUUUCCCAGAACUCAAAGAUAGAAGUUACCAGACCAGAAAGGGCCCAAGUGCCCAGCAUAAUAUAAACAGAUCCUCAUGAGAGUGUAUCAUUUUGAAAUUUCAUGAAACUGGGGCAAAAAGAACUUCCUAAGUAGAUUACAGUUACAUAUAAAGGAUUAAGAAUCAGAUGGCUUUAGACUGCUCAAUGGCAAUACUAGAAGCAAAGAGACAAACAAUCAAAAGUCUAAGAGAAAGCAGUUUCCAACCUAGAAUUUGAUGCCCAGCCAAACUAUCAGUCUAGUAGGAAUGAGAAUAGAAAAAAGAAUUUCCACACAUAGAAAGUCUCAAUUUACCUUCCAUGUGUUCCCUCUCAAGAAGUUACGAGAAGAGACCUCCAUCACAAUGAGACAGCAGAUCAGGAUGACAUGCAAUUCAGAAAGAGGAGAUUCAACAGAAAAGAGACAAAUGGUGGUGAAUGGAGCUCCUGGGACGAUGGCAGUGUACAGAAGUAGACAGAGGGUGACAAAGAUCCCUGCAGUCACCACACCUAGUUUCUAAGCUGAAGUCAGAACACUGGGAUGGCAGCUGUAUCCCUGAAACGAUCAGAAAUUUCUGGAGGGAUGAGAGGCUUUGCAUGCAUGUUUCAGGC